rnacentral:rRNA from 1 species
AGCGGCGGACGGGUGAGUAACGCGUGGGUAACCUGCCCUGUACACACGGAUAACAUACCGAAAGGUAUGCUAAUACGAGAUAAUAUACUUUUAUCGCAUGGUAGAAGUAUCAAAGCUUUUGCGGUACAGGAUGGACCCGCGUCUGAUUAGCUAGUUGGUAAGGUAACGGCUUACCAAGGCGACGAUCAGUAGCCGACCUGAGAGGGUGAUCGGCCACAUUGGAACUGAGACACGGUCCAAACUCCUACGGGAGGCAGCAGUGGGGAAUAUUGCACAAUGGGCGAAAGCCUGAUGCAGCAACGCCGCGUGAGCGAUGAAGGCCUUCGGGUCGUAAAGCUCUGUCCUCAAGGAAGAUAAUGACGGUACUUGAGGAGGAAGCCCCGGCUAACUACGUGCCAGCAGCCGCGGUAAUACGUAGGGGGCUAGCGUUAUCCGGAAUUACUGGGCGUAAAGGGUGCGUAGGUGGUUUCUUAAGUCAGAGGUGAAAGGCUACAGCUCAACCGUAGUAAGCCUUUGAAACUGGGAAACUUGAGUGCAGGAGAGGAGAGUGGAAUUCCUAGUGUAGCGGUGAAAUGCGUAGAUAUUAGGAGGAACACCGGUUGCGAAGGCGGCUCUCUGGACUGUAACUGACACUGAGGCACGAAAGCGUGGGGAGCAAACAGGAUUAGAUACCCUGGUAGUCCACGCCGUAAACGAUGAGUACUAGCUGU